AACGUAGGAGGCAAGCGUUAUCCGAAUUUACUGGGUGUAAAGCGCGUGCAGGCGGUUGGGUAAGUUGGAUGUGAAAUCUCCUGGCUCAACUGGGAGAGGUCGUUCAAUACUGCCUGGCUCGAGGGUGGUAGAGGGAGGUGGAAUUCCGGGUGUAGUAGUGAAAUGCGUAGAUAUCCGGAGGAACACCUGUGGCGAAAGCGGCCUCCUGGACCACACCUGACGCUCAGACGCGAAAGCUAGGGGAGCGAACGGG
rnacentral:rRNA from 1 species